rnacentral:rRNA from 1 species
UACGUAGGGGGCAAGUGUUGUCCGGAUUUAUUGGGCGUAAAGAGCGUGUAGGCGGCUUGGUAGGUCCGCUGUGAAACUCGAGGCUCAACCUCGAGAUGUCGGCGGAAACCACUUGGCUAGAGUCCGGAAGAGGAGAGUGGAAUUCCCGGUGUAGCGGUGAAAUGCGCAGAUAUCGGGAAGAACACCUAUGGCGAAGGCAGCUCUCUGGGACGGUACUGACGCUGAGACGCGAAAGCGUGGGGAGCGAACAGG